rnacentral:rRNA from 1 species
UUGGUCAAGUUAUUAAGGGUGCAGGGCGGAUGCCUUGGCACUAGGAGCCGAUGAAGGACGUGAUAAGCUGCGAUAAGCUUCGGGGAGUUGCACGUAAACUUUGAUCCGAAGAUUUCCGAAUGAGGAAACUCACUUAGAGUAAUGUCUAAGUAUCAUUAAGUGAAUACAUAGCUUAAUGAGGGGAACUCAGGGAACUGAAACAUCUAAGUACCUGAAGGAAGAGAAAGAAAUUCGAUUCCGUAAGUAGCGGCGAGCGAACGCGGAUUAGCCCAAACCAAUAAAGUUUUCUUUAUUGGGGUUGCGGACAUAUCAUAACGAAGAGGUAUCGUAAUUGAAGAGGUUUGGAAAGACCCACCACAGAAGGUAAUAGUCCUGUAUUUUAAACGAGAAGACUUCAGAUAUGAUCCAGAGUACCACGGGGCACGUGAAACCCUGUGGGAAGCAGGAGGGACCACCCUCCAAGGCUAAAUACUACCUAGUGACCGAUAGCGUAUAGUACCGUGAGGGAAAGGUGAAAAGAACCCCGGGAGGGGAGUGAAAUAGAACCUGAAACCCUGCACUUACAAGCUGUGGAAGCACAUUUCUUGUGUGACCGCGUACUUUUUGUAGAACGGGCCAACGAGUUACGUUAAGUAGCAAGGUUAAGCACUUAAGGUGCGGAGCCGUAGCGAAAGCGAGUUUUAACUGAGCGUUCAGUUACUUGACGUAGACCCGAAACCGGGCGACCUACCCAUGAGCAGGAUGAAGCGAAAGUAAAAUUUCGUGGAGGUCCGAACCCACGAGCGUUGAAAAGCUCGGGGAUGACUUGUGGAUAGCGGUGAAAUUCCAAUCGAGCCCGGAGAUAGCUGGUUCUCCCCGAAAUAGCUUUAGGGCUAGCCUCAAGGUGAGAGAUACGGAGGUAGAGCACUGAAUGUCCUAGGGGGUAUUGCACCUACCGAAGACUAUCAAACUCCGAAUGCCGUCAUCUUAUACUUGGGAGUCAGACUGUGGGUGAUAAGAUUCAUAGUCGAAAGGGCAACAGCCCAGAUCGUCAGCUAAGGUCCCUAAAUGUAAGUUAAGUGGUAAAGGAUGUGGGAUUGCACAGACAACCAGGAUGUUGGCUUAGAAGCAGCCACUCAUUCAAAGAGUGCGUAAUAGCUCACUGGUCGAGUGAUCCUGCGCCGAAGAUUUCCGGGGCUAAAACUUACUACCGAAGCUACGGCAAUCAGUAAUGAUGGGUAGGGGAGCUUCCCAUACGGGUUGAAGCGUGACCGUAAGGACAUGUGGACAGUAUGGGAGUGAGAAUGUUGGCAUGAGUAGCGAGAUGUGGGUGAGAAUCCCACAGGCCGUAAACCCAAGGUUUCCAGGGGAAGGUUCGUCCGCCCUGGGUUAGUCGGGACCUAAGCUGAGGCCGAAAGGCGUAGGUGAUGGACAACAGGUUGAUAUUCCUGUACUACCGAUAACCGUUUGAGAGAAGGGAUGACACAGUAGGAUAAGCUAAGCACACUGUUGGUUAUGUGUGCCCAAGCAUUGAGGCAGUCAAAGUAGGCAAAUCCGCUUUGAUAAUGCUGGGAUGUGAUGGGGAGCGAAAUUUAGUAGCGAAGUAGCUGAUUUCACACUGUCAAGAAAAGUCUCUAUCGAGGUUAAAGGUACCCGUACCGCAAACCGACACAGGUGGGUGAGGAGAGUAUCCUAAGGCCAGCGAGAGAACUGUUGUUAAGGAACUCGGCAAAAUGACCCCGUAACUUAGGGAUAAGGGGUGCCACCAUCAGGUGGCCGCAGAGAAUAGGCCCAAAGCGACUGUUUACCAAAAACAUAGGUUUCUGCUAAGUCGCAAGACGAUGUAUAGGAGCUGACGCCUGCCCGGUGCUGGAAGGUUAAGGGGAUCUGUUAGAGCAAUCGAAGCAGUGAACUUAAGCCCCAGUAAACGGCGGCCGUAACUAUA